UACGGAGGAGACAAGCGUUAUCCGGAAUUAUUGGGCGUAAAGCGUCCGUAGGUGGCACUUCAAGUCUGCGGUCAAAGACCGGGGCUUAACCCUGGAAAGGCCGUGGAAACUGAAGUGCUAGAGUGCAGUAGGGGUAGAGGGAAUUCCCGGUGUAGCGGUGAAAUGCGUAGAGCUCGGGAAGAACAUCGGUGGCGAAAGCGCUCUACUGGACUGCAACUGACACUGAGGGACGAAAGCUAGGGGAGCGAAUGGG
rnacentral:rRNA from 1 species